ACUCUUCUAGUAUACUAAUUACAAUCGACUUCCAAUCUUUAGAAUCUGGUUCAAACCCAGAGAAGAGUA
rnacentral:tRNA from 1 species